ACGGAUAUGAUGAAAUUGGUAGACGUGUUAGGUUUAGAUUCUAAUGAUAUAAAUCGUGAGGGUUCGAGUCCCUCUAUCCGUA
rnacentral:tRNA from 1 species